CACCGCCCCUCGAUCCUCGCUGCGUGCAGCUCCGCCAAGCUCCAGGUAGCCCUGGAGCGUGGAGACGACAAAGCUUUGUUACGACGGCCGACAGGUGGUCCUGAAUUCCACCGCCAAAAUCAGGAACAAGAACAACCAUGAACUACUUCCUUGAUGGGCGAAUAAAGAGGGCAUAAAUUAUUUUUCUAUGUGUAGCACGCUUCCUCAUCACCGUCUUCCUGGGCUCUGUUGUGCACUCUUCUAACGCCAAGGACGUGGAGGAGAAGCUAAAAAAUUGUUGCCUGAUCAAGAAGAAUUCAAGGACGGCGGAGAUGAAGAUUUUGACACUGGCACCGAAGAGUUCAUCAUUUAGAUUAAGAAGAGACGAUCAAUCAAGGCCAAACCACCCACCCUGUCUGAAGAUUUGUGCAGCUUAAAAAGAACUCAUCUACCACCAGAAAUUCAGAAUAAAUUACAGAGCACAUCUGCUCUUAUUUUGUUCAUUUCCAUUUUCGGUAGAGCAUUGCACAUGCAUCUCAUGACAGGAAGAUGAUUAAAGUACUUCUCUAGGUUUUUCCAGCAAAUGUGAUACGUGAUUUAAUGCAAAUUAUUUGUUUAGUUUGAAGGCUUUCCGAGAAUCAUUUGGAAAUCUGGGAAUUAAUCGUUGGUAGCUCGAAGGAAUUAGAUGUUGAUUGCGAUGCAUAAUCUAAUCUAUCUUUUGCCUUUCUCAGCAGAUAUUGCAACAAUCAGGAUCUCCAUACAUGAUGUAGCCUGGUCAUUUGAAAAGAGGCCAUAAAGAAAGCUCGGUGUAGUGCAUUGUGUCUCAAUGAGGAUGUACAAGCAGCAAAGCAGUGAUCCAAAUGUACUUAUAUAGUAGAACUUGUCCCAUUUUACAAAUAAUGUGCAACGAAUUAUUGUCUAUUGCAAAAAUAAAAGUCUGUGGAUGGAAAAUCUACUUCCGAUCUUCAA